UGGCGAACGGGUGAGUAACACGUGGGCAACCCUGCCCCAGACUGGGGGAUAACGAUUGUGAAAACAGGUGCUAGUACCGCAUGACAGGGUUCCGGGCAUCCGGGACUCUUGGAAAGGAGAAAUCCGGUCAGGGAUGGGCCCCGCGUCCCAAUUAGCUAGUUGGUGGGGUAACGGCCCCACCAAGGCGACGAUUGGUAGCCGAACUGGAGAGGUUGAUCGGCCACAUUGGGACUGAGACACGGCCCAGACUCCUACGGGAGGCAGCAGUGGGGAAUAUUGGGCAAUGGGCGAAAGCCCUGACCCAGCGACGCCGCGUGAAGGAUGAAGGUUCUUCGGAUUGUAAACUUCUUUGAUCAGGGAAGAAAGAAAUGACGGUACCUGAAAAACAAGCCACGGCUAACUACGUGCCAGCCGCCGC
rnacentral:rRNA from 1 species